GACGAACGCUGGCGGCGUGCUUAACACAUGCAAGUCGAACGGAAAGGCCCUGCUUUUGUGGGGUGCUCGAGUGGCGAACGGGUGAGUAACACGUGAGUAACCUGCCCUUGACUUUGGGAUAACUUCAGGAAACUGGGGCUAAUACCGGAUAGGAGCUCCGGCUGCAUGGUGGGGGUUGGAAAGGUUCGGCGGUUGGGGAUGGACUCGCGGCUUAUCAGCUGGUUGGUGGGGUAGUGGCUUACCAAGGCUUUGACGGGUAGCCGGCCUGAGAGGGUGACCGGCCACAUUGGGACUGAGAUACGGCCCAGACUCCUACGGGAGGCAGCAGUGGGGAAUAUUGCACAAUGGGCGGAAGCCUGAUGCAGCAACGCCGCGUGCGGGAUGACGGCCUUCGGGUUGUAAACCGCUUUCGCCUGUGACGAAGCGUGAGUGACGGUAAUGGGUAAAGAAGCACCGGCUAACUACGUG
rnacentral:rRNA from 1 species